rnacentral:rRNA from 1 species
GAUGAACGCUGGCGGCGUGCUUAACACAUGCAAGUCGAACGGAAAGGCUCCUGCUUGCAGGGGUACUCGAGUGGCGAACGGGUGAGUAACACGUGGGUGAUCUGCCCUGCACUUCGGGAUAAGCCUGGGAAACUGGGUCUAAUACCGGAUAGGACCACAUUUUGGAUGGUGUGGUGGAAAGUUUUUCGGUGUGGGAUGAGCUCGCGGCCUAUCAGCUUGUUGGUGGGGUAAUGGCCUACCAAGGCGUCGACGGGUAGCCGGCCUGAGAGGGUGUACGGCCACAUUGGGACUGGGAUACGGCCCAGACUCCUACAGGAGGCAGCAGUGGGGAAUAUUGCACAAUGGGCGCAAGCCUGAUGCAGCAACGCCGCGUGGGGGAUGACGGCCUUCGGGUUGUAAACUCCUUUCGCUAGGGACGAAGCGUUUUUGUGACGGUACCUGGAGAAGAAGCACCGGCUAACUACGUG